CCAUGAUCCAGUCACCUUCCAAGAGCAUGAGAAUUUGGGGGGACAAUCUAGAUCUAAACCAUAACAAGAGCCUAGACUAACUUGAGAAAAUCUUUAUUGAAGUUAUGGAUCAAAAAGUAAAAUCUGAGACCUAGGAGCAAAGCUAAGUUGCUAGGAUCUUAUACCAGGCCAUAGAACGAAUCACAUAACUAUUACUGAAAAUGUGUCACUGCACACAGCUCAUUACCCAGAGCUAGCCAUUUGAUCCUGUUUAAUCCCACACCACCACAAUCAAAGAGAACCAGAAGAGUAAUCUCAUCACAGGCUAAAAUUAAUGGGCAAAUAUUACUACUACCCAUCUCUUUUCCAAUCUAAAAUCUUGCUUCUGAGAAAAUUUCAUGACAACAAGUAGAGAAGGGUCAAAUGAUGUCGCCACAGCCAAUGUCAACUGAAAUUACUGGGCUAAAGAUAGGGAUUGAACAGACUCAGGGUUCAAUGGGUCAAAUAUGAUUUUAAUAAUGGCCCCAGAUUGGGUGGAAUGAGGUAGAAAAACAUGAUGAAACUUUUGGAAUAGGUGAAAACCUGUUAAAAAAUAUUUUUAUAUCAGCUGCUUGCUCCUUGCUCCUUCCCUUUCUCUUUUUUUUUCAGGAGUCCCCUAGACCUUCCCUGGGGUUUAUGUACAGUUCAUUUAGGCUUUAGAAGGUUCCAGAUUCAAGAAGUUUCUGAAGAUAGAAUAUAAUGACAGUAAGGAUGAUCAUAAGAGGAAUGAUAGUGAACUCCCCAGUAACACUUUUUAUGUGCCAUUGCCAUCCACAUAUGAGCUCAUUCGUCCUUACACCAACCCCAUAAGCAGGCAUUUUCACUAGUUACAUCGGACAAAUGAGGAAACAGCCACACAAAGGUUAAAUAACUUGCCUCAAGUUUACUCAGGAUUAGAAGCCAGGCAGUAAGAUUCCAAAGAUGGGUAUGAUUGCUAGGGCAAUUGGUAGAAGAAAUGUUCUAGAACAUUCUUCUCCUCCAAUCUACAACCCCUAGGGGCCCUAAUUUGCCAUUUUAAAAACCUCUGUAUUCUAAUAAAAAUUGUCUAGCCCUAACUCAUGCCCCAUUAAUUUUAGCCAGGAUUCAAUCCAGAGGAAGGGCACCAAAGGGCCAGCACAUGGGCCAAGCAGUUCCUUUAAUAGGCUUGACCUGAAAUCUUGACACAAAAAUCAAUCAUGCUGUCACCUGGUUGAGGGCCUGCUUUGUUUCUGCUAACUACUCUGCCUUCAUUGUCACUCAGACUUCCUUGAUGUUUGUUUUUUCCUUUUUUUAAAAAAAAAACUCUGAAUAUGUCUGUAAUUUCACCAUGAAGAAUGAUGGUAAUUUCACAUUCCUGUGCCUUUAAGUGUAAUGAAUACUCACUUCAGGCUGAACAGAAUUGCUCAUCCAAUUAGGGUUCAUGAUGAUGAGCAUUCUUGCACUUUUGUAAUGACUUUCAUCUGAGACCCUCAGAACAUUUUAAAAACAUUCAUCAAGCCUCAUGAGGCCUCUGUGAAGCCGAGCCGGGCAAGGGGAAAGUACAAAGAUGAAAAUCACCAAUGUGCCAUGGACGUGAUAUAAGUGGAAGUCAUACCGCCACUGGAUGUUUUCCAUUUUCAUCUUUUUAAUGCAAAGAGGAUCAGAGAACAUUAGAGCCAGAGAGUGAUGUGGCUUUUCUGUAGCCUUUCUUCUCUGGUUAAAGGCCUCUGCUUGCAUUCCUGUGGAAUGUACGCCUAGAUUGGAUCCUAUGUCUAGAGUGGAUCCCAUCCCUAGACCAGAUCCUACCCCUGAACUGGGUCCAACCCCUACAUGGAAGAGCAAUGUGGCCCCCUGUACAAAGCCAAAGAAUCAGAUAAUCCAGAGGGUUUAGGGUAGGUGGAGCUUAACCACUGUUGUUUGGGGAAGAAACCGGAUCCCAUCCCUAGGCUGGAUCCUACUCAUAGAAUGGAUCCUACCCUUAGCCUGUAGGAGAAGCCUUUUCUUGGAGCCUGGAGUCACUAUCCACUCCCCUUCCUUUGGGGAGGAGGAGGGCUGGCUUGUUCCCAGGAUGGUCUAGCCAUGCCAGUCACAUGAGAGGAAAGAGUAAGAAAUUCUACACCUGAUCCCAGGUGAUGGGUUGCAUUAAAACUUGCUAAUAAAUAUAAGAAAAGGACUGCUUAUCAGUAGCAGUGGAAAUGAUGGUGAUGGCCCAGAAUCACAUGGGUGGGGUAAUACCUUUGCUCUCUGAUGGUUCAAUGGACCCAAAGUUGGUUUCAUACUCAAAACUGAAAAUGUUGUAUCAAACUACCUUCAGGAUAUCUGUAUAGGUGUAGUAUUAGUCACUUUCCAUCACUGGGAGGUAAUGUCUAACAUUCACAACUGAAGGCAGAAAGAUUUAUUUUGGCUUACAGUUUUAGUUCAUGGUCAGCUCCAAGGCAGAAAGGACAUGGUGAAAGGGCUUGGGUGAAGGAAAACUAUUCAAGCCAGGAAGGAGAGAGAGGCAGAUGGGGGUGGGGGGAGGGAGAGAGAAGAGAGAGAGAGAACUAGGAACAAGAAUAUGCAAUUCCAGAUUGUGCAACCAGUGACCUGCCUCCAGUCAGGCCCCAGCUUCUAACAGCAAGUUAGCUAUGAACUCAUCAGUGAUCGCUGGACUAACCCCACAAUGAUCAUAAUGCUCCUAUGACCCAGUCACAUAAAAUGGUGGACAUUUUGAAUACAAAGCAUGCAAAUAUAUAUGAAGCAUAAAUGAAUUUUUUGUGUUUGGGUCCCUUUCACAAGGUAACUCAUUAAGUAUAUGCAAAUAUUCCAAAAUAAGAAAAGAAAGAGACCCAAAAUCUGAAACACUUCUGGUCCUGAGCAUUUUGGGUAGGGGAUACUUAACCUAUAAUAUAGUACCUUGACUAAUCCCAGACAGAACCUCCUGCUUCAUGUACUUAUGUUGUGGCCCCAACUCUGUUCUGUAUAUAACCCACUUUACCUUAGCAAAAGGGAGGGGCAGUUUGAGAGUUCCUGGGAGGUUAGGACUGCCUAGCUAUGGGACUCUUGUGCACAAGAGAAGGAAGGGGGCUGAAACAUUGGAAGCAGCACCCCAGUAGAAAAGGGCAGAUGAUGGCUAUUACAAACCUUGACCCAGGAGCUGGGGAGGUCAGGUCAGGUUUUUAUGAUGAGGGGCAUAAGAAUCUAGAAAACUAGGUCAAUAUCUAAGAUGAGGGUCAAGGUCAAGGGCAGAGGCUAGGAACAUAAUAAGAGGUAGAAGCUCCUAAAUAGACCACCAGAACAGGUCUAUGGGAAGUAGGCCAAAGUUCUUCCACAUGGAAGAGCAAUGUGGCCCCGUGUAGAAAGCCAAAGAAGCAUAUAAUCAAGAGGGCUUGGCAUAGGUGGGGCUUAACCACUGUUGUUUGGGGGGAAUUCUUAAGUUGGUUCUAUUCAGUCUUCAAUUGUGGGAGUGAAGGACUUUUCCUUCCAUGGCAUUACCUUGCCAAGUGCCCAAGCGUGCCACCCUUCUUGGGUUAUAAGCACUGUGAAACAUUGCGCUUUGAGUUGACCUCAUAUGAGGUAAGUCCAACUGUGACAUAGCCAAGGCUGGGGGAGCUCAUAGUUGUCAUUCUUGCUAAAUGGUCAGUGAGAAAAAUGCCAACAGCUGUCCUAGGAAGUCCUCACCAGGAUUCAAAGGAUAAAGCGUAGCACGGCCUCUGGGCAUGAGUGAUGUGCGGUCGUAUGAAUGGAUCCCGGAUGGUCUGUGGACGCUGAAUCUGCCCUGGAAUCCUUUCAAAUCUUAUCUGUCAUCAGUUUUUCUUUCCCUUCGGCUCUCUCUGAUUCUUGAAGCUCAAAGGAUGUGGCUGAAUUAAAGAUCCUUGAGGACAGAGACUUUGCCUUGAGUAAUGCUUGUUGCAAAGAAGGUACUCAGCACCUGCUCGUCAGCUAACCCGGAAGAGGAAGCCCGAGAAGUGGUAUGGUCCCGAAGAUUGCCUCUGUCACUAGAUCAGAUAAAGAAGAGAAAGGCCACAGAGCGGAAGUCCUUGAAGAAGAGAGGACGGCAUGAACCUCACAGCUUCCAUAGAAGAUUGCAGUGAUGGCCACGAUCUCUCCCCUCAGUGCAUGCUGGCUCCCUUUGCUACACAGUUUUGCCUUUUCUCCUAUCAAGAGGCAUGGGACCACUUUUUUCUUCUGGGUAACAUACAUUACCCAAGGAAUCUUCAGGUAAAUUCCAGCCACCAAAUGCUAAUGAUAACAGCAACAAUACACCUUCAAAAGAUAUGUAUCAAGUACCCAAUAAAUGCCAGUCUCUGUCUUGGUUUGGGGGAGAUCUGAAGAACGGAGAGAAGAUAUCAACCUGUGGGGAAUUUACAUUCUCGAGGAGGCUCCGCUUCUGAAAGACUCCAGCACCCAGCGGUACCACAGGCUGACUACCAAAGUCUCCACACAUACACUUUGGAGGAACACUUACUACACUAUAGCAACUCAGAAGUAAGUUUUCUUUCUGAAAAUGAAAUUAAACAAAUCUAUGA